CGGGGAGAGUCGGAUACUUUGAGAGUAGUGUCUUAAGGGGGUGGUAUGUCCCAUCCAAGGCUAAAUAACGUGAGGAGACCGAUAGAUUACAAGUAGUGUGAACGAAAGAUGAAAAGAACUCUAAAACAGAGGGUGAAAAGUUCCUGAACUUGCUUAGGGUUAAGGCUAUUUAUAGUACCCGUCUUGAAACACGGAUUAGGGAGUUUAUCUGUAGUGCGAGUCUUUGCACGUUAACUGUAAAGGCGUAGAGAAAGCAACUGGCGUUUGCAUGGCUACUGAGCAUUACUGAUAGGACCCGAAAGGUGGUGAACUUUGCCUGCACAGGUUGAAGUCAGGGGAAACUCUGAUGGAGGACCGUACGGGUUAUUGAUGUGCAAAUCAUUUUUCUGAUGUAGGUAAAGGUGCGAAAGACUCAUCGAACCACCUAAUAGCUGGUUUCCUCCGAAGUUUCCCUCAGGAUAGCUGUAAUGCAUUUAGUUAAGGGGAGUAGAGAUAUGGGUAGAGGUGCAGGGAGCCUUCGGGUUCUCAACUUAUUUCCAAACUUCGAACCUCCUUGUUAGGCAUUUACCUAACUGGAAAUGCUUAAAUGAAUUAGCGUUACAAGUGGGCUCUGACCGGUAAGCGGUCAUGGCGAAAUGGGAUGAACCAUACGUCUGAAUAAGGUGCCGAAAUGUACUAUCACUGAUACCAUAAAGGGAGUCCAUGUAUUUAGACAGCAGGUCGGUGCCCCUAAAAGCAGGUAUCCGCUAAAGAGUGUGUUAAAACUCACCUGCCGAAUACUAGGGCCCCGAAAAUGAAUGGCGCAUAUAGUACUACCGAUCUCAGACAUCAGUUCUAUUGAACUGAGAGUAGGGGGAUGUGGACAUUUUUGUGAAGGUGCAAUGUGAGUUGGACUGGAAGAAUGUCUAUUACAGAUCCUAAUUGAAGUAGCGAUUAUCCAGGCUUGUAUCCUGAGGGCUGAUGAGGAGUAGGGUUUCUGGACACUUAAACAGAUCCAGAGUUAGUCGAUCCUAAUCUCAUAAUGGAGAUGGAGUACAGUUGAUAUUCUGU
rfam:Trichomonas vaginalis G3, whole genome shotgun sequence.